GCUUUAAUUUGGGGGAGAAUGCGUAUUCCUUUCCAGGAGUUUGGUUUGUCUCUCCAUUUAUUUUAAGCUUUACGGCCCCCAGUAAAAUUUUGUGACUUUUUAAAAAAAUUUUAUUCAUUUUUUGAUAGAGACAGAGUGUGAGUGGAGGAGAGGCAAACACCGAAUCCAAAACGAGCUCCAGGAUCUGAGCAGUCAGCAUAGAGCCCAACGCGGGACUCAAACUCGCCAACGGUGAGAUCAUGACCUGAUCCAGAGUCGGACGCCCCACCGACUGAGCCACCUAGGCGCCCCUUGUGGCUUAUCUUUACCCAGGUACUGUAUAUUCGUAGUUGUUCUCGUGAAGGGAAUGCUUUCGGGGCCGACUCUUUUCCUGGGGACCCCGUAGCAGGCCGGGCCCCUCCUGCUGCCCCUGGGAUACCUGGAGGGCGUGAGCGCACCGGCGCCGCGGACAACUGGAACUCCCAGUUCCACCCGCAACCCGCCCCGCGGUCCCGAGCUGCCGCCUCCGCUGCCUGCCACGGCGAUUCGGUGGCGCCCCCUGGUGGCCGUUACCAGUGUGGCGCUUCUGCUGCCUUUCAAUGCCACGCAGGCAUCACCUUCCCGGCUAGACUGUCGAGUCACCUCCCCAUGAAGGAAGGCAAACGAUUUUCAACAUUUUGGAUUCAGCAAAAUACACCUCGGAAGAUGAAUAUGAGAAAGUCACCCUAGAGCCAAACCGCCACUUGAAAAUGUAGCAGCUAUUUAUGUAUUCACUCCGAAUCGGCUGAUGCAACGGAUCUUAGGGGCCAGGCCGCCGUGAUACAAACGCGAACCGAGACAGACAAGGGCCCCACUGUUCCCCUGCACAGUGUAUUCUAGUGAAAGGAGACACAGAUAAGCAAAUUUGUUGAGCCUCACUUGGUGAUCUGUAUACAGUUGAUCUUGACACACGUUCCACGUGCACUUGAAAAAACUGUGUAUUUUGUGCAGUUUGGGGUUUUAAGUUCUACAAAUGUCAAUUAUGGCAGUUUCUCCAUCCAUGGCAGGACUGCUCUUAUCCAGACCUCGCAGCACCUCCCCGUGGAAGCUCCCCUCAGCUCACCCACGAGAGCCUCAGUCCUCUUAGGAACUAGUUCAUCAAGGCUCCCCUGUGCCUGCCAGCUUGGACCCAGCAUCACCACGAGUUGGAGAGGAACACCCUGAAGCUACCGGAUGUCCCCACCCCUCCUGGGACGCCACCCUCAGCCAGCAGCUUGCUCUUCCGGAAGCACCUCCCGAGGGCCUCAAUUCUUGGCAUCCCCUCUGCACUGCCCCCAGACAGGCUGCUGUGGAAUGAGAAUGAACCAGGCCCCCAGGAUCCCCACCAAGCCUGGAGGAACACGUGCUCUUGCCUUAUGCCCCGUCUGCCUGCACCUCGGAUGGGACACAGAGAUCACUGCCACCAUGUUAGCUGGUGAUGCUUCCCCCCGCCAGACUCAGAGCCACCACCCCAGUGACAGCUCGGGAAUGUCCUCCUCACAUGCCUCGUUCCUGAGCAGUGGCAGGCCACGGGGCAGAGGCCCUCUUGGAAGGUCCAAUGGGAGGGUGGGUGCCCGCCCCUCCUCAACAAGAACUUGGGCCAGUCUUCCGGUUGCUUCCUGGGCUUGAAGACCCAGGAACGCUCAGGUUCCCAGCCUGGGGUGGACAGUCGCCUCCCUGCCUUCAACAAGUCUGAGCUCCUGGCCCCUAAGAGCCUAAGCCACCAGCCCAGCUUGGGUUCAUGUUAUUUUGUUCCAUCACCGAGCGGCAGCCCUGAUGGUGGUUUGUGGGCAUUUGUCCCCAAGACGCUCCCCUGCCAUCUGCUGGAAAGCUGUCAGGUUGAAUAGACAAACUUGGAUAUGAUAGGAAGGUGAUGGUGCCCCUAGAGGCGUGCAGUGUGGUCCCCUGUUGGGAUGUAGCUCUCAGCUGAGCUUGAGUGAUGCCCGACCCCUGAGCUCCGCAAUCGGGGGAAGCUCAUGGUCUAGGGGGACAGGGACAGACCCAGAAACAGAAACAGAAGGUGUGACAUGCAGGAGAAGGAUGGACAACCAACUGUGGGGGUCCAGCUCAGACCCACACCUUUC